rnacentral:tRNA from 1 species
GGGCCGGUAGCUCAGCCGGUAGAGCGACGGGUUGAAGACCCGUGCGGCGAUGGUUCGAUCCCAUCCCGGCCCGCCA